GCCCAGCACCGAAUCCUUCACCAUCUCGGUGACAGGAAAUGUGGUGUUUAGGCCGUACCUUGUCCCGACACGUCUCUCCUCAAGUCCACUUGAUUGUGGCCCCAGGCCCAGAGAGGGUGUAAGGCCCGUGGAGGCGAGACGUUCGGUACCUGGUGCGUCCUUAGAGUCGGGUUGUUUGGGAAUGCAGCCCUAAGCGGGUGGUAAACUCCAUCCAAGGCUAAAUACCAGCACGAGUCCGAUAGCGAAGAAGUACCGCGAGGGAAGGUUGAAAAGAACUUUGAAGAGAGAGUUCAAGAGUACGUGAAACCGCUGAGAGGCAAACUGGUGGAACUGAAAUGGUCCCGAGGAAUUCAGCCGUUGGUCGUUGCACAGUCUUUGGUGAUUGAUCUAACGACGGCGCCAUUGAAUGACGUUUCGAUCAUCGGUGCACUUUCCUCGCCUGGGCCCGACCACGACCGGUGAGCUGAUCUGUCUGUCGUGCUUGGAAGAUAGCGCCGUCUUCGGAAGGCGUGUUAUAGACAGGCAUACGGAGCAGUCGGCGCACUGGAUGAUAGUGCCUGCCCAUCUGGGCUCAUAUGGUGGUUGUUUUGUUGGCGAGUUCUGAUGUCACUACUUCGGUAGAGUCGUUAGACUCUGUUGGCAUUAUGGCUGUCCUCUAUGAUUGGCACUGUUAAGUCUGUGGUUGUGAAGUAGGUAGUCCACCUGACCCGUCUUGAAACACGGACCAAGGAGUCUAACAUGUGCGCGAGUCAUUGGGUUCACGAAACCUAAAGGCGCAGUGAAGGUAAAGAUCUGUUUUGGCAGAUUGAGGUGGGAUGCCGGGUUACGCGCCCGGCCGCACUACCGGCCCGUUCUAUAUGUCUUUCAUAGGAGCGGAGCAAGAGCGUACACGUUGGGACCCGAAAGAUGGUGAACUAUGCUUGCGCAGGUCGAAGCCAGAG
rnacentral:rRNA from 1 species